rnacentral:rRNA from 1 species
AUGGUCGCUGGCGGCCAGAGGCCCGCUGCGGCAAUGUCUCAAGCCCUGCGGCCGCGGUGGUCGGUGCUGUGGCCUUCUCAUCUGCCGGUGAUCCGCCGGGGACGUCCCGGCACAGCUGCCGUCUCCUUCAACAACCGAUGUAAUGGUACUCAUCCCUCCUCAUCUGCUUCUUGCUGGUUCUUUGAUUGCUAG